rnacentral:lncRNA from 1 species
GAACUAACAACAAACCAAGUUCACCCUAAUUUAACUCAGUGCCUUUUUUCCAACAUUGAUUGUCAUUACACUAAGAUGACUAAUGACACAGUUACUAGGAUUUAGGGUGAAAGAGAGUCAACCAGUUCAUGAAUUGAAACUGUUACUACAAAACCAUUACCUUUCAAAAUGAUACUGACACAGAUUCAAAUGCAAUGAUAAUUAUCGAGCUUAAAUGAAGUGACGAACCCUUAUACCAUUUCCAACCUUUAAAUAUACAAUCUAGUGAACAUAAAUUCCUUUCGACAGUUAAAAAAAUUAUAUUCAACGGUCCUAUUACAACACCUGUCAAAUAAUUAAUUCUAGAGAAAUAGUCUUAAUCACCGUCCAAAUUUAAAUUACAACAAAUAUCCAGCCAAAUCUAAGAAGUAAACUAUUUAAACGCAGAGAAAGUUGUUCAACCACAGAUCUACAACAAAAGGGCUUCAAUGCAUUUCUCAUUUCCCCUGAAAUUUUUACAUGAUGUUGAAGUUCAGAACAAAUACCUGAAAUUUGAAGUGAAAUAAAAGAGGAAGAGGUCAGCAAUAGCUAUAGUGCAGCAGAGUAUGAGGGAAAUUCAAGCAGCAACACUUUUAAUGAAUCAACAGUACACUUGACAGCCCAGGAACUCAGAACAAUAACCCAGCAACACACGAACACCAAACUUAACGUGAAAAUCCAACCAAACUAACUCAAUUCUCCCAAUUUAUUUGAAAAUGCACCAAACCAACCCAGUAAAACCCAAGCUCAAUUUGAGAAACAAUGUAAAGAGAUUCACUGACUGUUAGUAUCAAUCCAUGUUCAUUCCAUGAAACAAUGAUUUUUCUUCUUUUUGUUGUGUUCUGAUUUUUGUAUGUAUUUUUUUGUAUUUUUCUGUGUAUCUAAAUGCUAAAACUAUCUAAGACUAGAAUGAAAGAAUAAAUCAAAUUUGUUUAAUCAAAUUUUAGGCUGAAAAAUUGAAGCCCCCUACCUCAAGGCAUUUGAUGCCUUUAUAUAGGCAAAGAAGAACGAAAAAUCAGCCUAAAGGUUUUCAACAUCAGUCCCUACCCAUUUUUAUUUUAACCCUCCUAUUUCUAACUUGUUCCCCAAGUAACAACUACCAAAAUUGUUAAAACUUAUACUAAAUCCCCAUUUGGAAUGCCUUGGAAGGUUCUUUUAGCUAUAUAAUGCCUAUACUACCCUUACCCCUGUUUUGAAAUUACCAAACCUAAUAAAAUUACCCUUUUCUAUCCCCAAAGUGCCCUUGACCAUCCCCUAAAAUUACUAAUCAACCACAUCCCCUUUUACCUAAUUAAACUUUCACUACAGUUAACUAAAAGUGAACUAUCAGCUGUACCCAAACUAAUUGUCAUUAACAUUAAGAUUGAACAAAUUAAAACUAAACGAAAUCAAUUUUCAUACAACUUCCAAAUCCAAAUCAGACAAAUAUAAUUAACUAGCGACCCAAACUAAUCAAUCUAUAAUAGUAAUUAUAAAAGAGAAUCAACUAAGCUAAUAAUCCAUAUAGAAUCAAUAAUAAGAAAAGAAGAAAUAGAACAGUUCAGGCAGGCAUUCAACACGAGUGACAAAUUUAAACUUCGAACAAACAAGGUAAACUGAAAACUAAAAUUACCAACCAACCACGGGCCCUUGUACCUAGUUAAACUUCAACUACAGUUAACUAAAAGUGAACUAUCAGCUAUACCCAGACCAAAUUCUUCAUUAACAUUAAGAUUGAACAAGUUAAAACUAAAACGAAAUCAAUUUUCAAACAACUUCCAAACCCAAAUCGGACCAAUAUAAUUAACUAACGACCCAAACUAAUCAAUCUAUAAUAGUAAUUAUGAAAGAGAAUCAACUAAGCUAACAAUCCAUAUAGAAUCAAUAAUCAGAAAAGAAGAAAUGGAACACUGCAGGCAGGCAUUCAACACGAGUUCCAAAUUUAAACUUCGAACAAAUAGGGUAAACUGAAACCUAAUAACACAAAUGACUAAUUAGCAUUAAUCAAUUGGGCAUUCCAACCAACAAUAACCAAAAUUUAAAACCAAGAGAUGAAAAUCUAUCUAAGGUGAAUAAGACUAAACACGGAUAACAACUCAAAGAAGAAGAAUUGAUGCUACGACGACUGAAAAACUACAACUAUGCUUAAACGAAUAGACAGAUUGAAUUAACUAAAAAUAGAAACUAAAUGGACAAAGAUACAGAAAACUUACUAAUAGCUAAUCUUCAACCAGGAACUUUGAAAUUAACUCCGAGUUAAAGUUACAAGUUUAUCUCACGGGGGAUAAACCCAUAAUUUUAAUUUGAAGUUAAUUCGUAGGGCAAAUUGACAACAUAGUCCGGAAAAGCAUGAACCCUAGAUGUGAGAUUGGAGGCAUCUUGCUGAGAUUCGAAGAGAAACAGCCCCAGACGCGAGAUUAGAGAUGUCAAUAGAUUACCAAGUAUCGAUUUGGGCUUUUUUGGAUGAAGUUCAUGUUUGGCUCGAACCUUCGGUUGAAGAUUCGAGCAGUUCUAGGCUGGUUCGAGGAAAACGGUUCAUGGAUUCGUAACGAGGGUGGUUAGGUGCUCUAGGGGUGUUAAUUUGGUAGGGUUUGGCUACCGGCGGCUAAGAAUUUUGGGGCGGCGACAUUAGGGUUUCUGGGAGGAGUGGGGUGUGAAGGAGAUGAGUGAGAUGGGGUGGUGGGGAAACUGGUUUGGACAGUUUUAUAGGAACAACCUAGGACAAUACCAACCGUUGGAUUAAAAGAUGAAGGCUGAGAUUGGUUUCCUAGGACGACGUCAUUUGGAGGGUUACUGAAAUGGACUUGGUGGGGGUGGGAAUUUGUUUGGGCUAGUUUUGGGAGGAAAAAAC